rnacentral:rRNA from 1 species
CCCCUAGAUGUUCUGGGCCGCACGCGCGCUACACUGAACAGUUCAACAAGUCUUAACCUUGGCCGAUAGGUCUGGGUAAUCUUUGAACGCUGUUCGUGAUUGGGAUAGACCUUUGCAAUUAUGGGUCUUCAACGAGGAAUUCCUAGUAAACGCAAGUCAUCAGCUCGUGCUGAUUACGUCCCUGCCCUUUGUACACACCGCCCGUCGCUCCUACCGAUUGAAUGGUCCGGUGAAGCGUUCGGACCGUGGCCUUUGGACGGUUCGCCGUCUGUUGGCUGCGGGAAGUUCGUUAAACCUUAUCAUUUAGAGGAAGGAGAAGUCGUAACA